CUGAGCUGACCUUCUGCAAGCCCCCAGGCGGCUCUGGUCAGCAUGAAGGACGUGGUGACCACGUGCAGUGAGGCUGCAGCACUCGGAGCUGCAGGACCUGCUGUAUCUCCGUGAGAACAGUACUCAGCUCUGGAUUAUGGAGGUGCUGGGGACUGAACCUGCCACUUUUGGUGCCUCAAGCAUGUGGAUGUGAUUGAGCCCAAUGCCAUGGAGUUUGCCCCAUGCUAGGUGGAGGCACCGCUGAGCCAGGCCUUAGAGCCAAGAGCCACAUCCAAGAUCAAAGCCUCAUGGGUGCUGGACCAGCAAGAUGUUCAGGCUGAGCCGCUGCUCCUGCCAUGAUGUGGCGAUCAAGAUGGAGAAGCAGACUGUGAGGAUGCUGAGGCCCAAGGACACAUACUUGAUUCUGUGCCUCUUUGUGCUUCUUGAAGCUACAGCCAAGAAAAUGGGCCUCGGAAUGUUCCAGAAGGAGUCAGGUCUUGGAGCAGAAUUCAUUAAUCCCACCAGUGGCAGUGAAACAUCCCAGGGAGCUCUUAGGCAAUUAAGAAGCCUUCAUGGACUCUUCUGAAACAGAGAAUUUAGGAAAUGGAUGCAAGUUCAGGAAAUACAGUUAAUCUAGUCAAUCCAGUUCCGGUGUGGAAGCAAAUCAUAUUCUGGUUCCAGAACCCACAAAACUCUCUUCCUUUCUUGCAUAUUGGCUGAAACCAUGAAAGGACAAGAACUCUAUGAAGCUACCUGGAUUCCACUCUUCUCAUCUCUUUACGACCCAUACAAGUGAGGGCCAGUUGACAAAAAGAUUGUUAGGAGAGUGAUUUGCUACAUAGGAAACAGGCUGCAUAGCAAGGCGUGGCUUUGAGUUCUUGGGUUUGUGGAGGUCAUUGUCCUCCAGGAGGAAGACAUUUCAGAAGGCAUCGUAGGCUUAUCUGAGAAGUCCUGCUGCAUGGAUGGAGGAUUUGCUGGGCCUUCCACCUUUAACUCACAAAGCUCAUCCUCAAAAGGAUGUUCUGGAGACUGCUGGGCUCUGGCCAGGUUACUAUGGCAAAGACAGUGGAAUGUGGAUCUAUAGAUGGAGGCCUCUAGUACAGUCUGCUGGUAGACUGUCCCUUCCCCAAUACUUUGAGAAGUCACGGUUUAGCCAAAAACUGUAGAAUGUACAAGAAGUGUGGCUUUAGCUUUGAACAUGAAAGCUAAUGGCUCAACAAAUUCCACAGGGACAGAAAAUACUAGCAUGUAUGGCAGGCCUGCAUCCAGCCCCACAACACAGAAAGUUCAUUGGAAUCUCCUUGCCUGCUUUGGAAACACAUUUGGGUGGAGUCAUCCCUGGACAUGCCAGGUCAAAUCUUUCCUCAUAAAAAAACUCACUGGAGACCCCAGUACGAUCUGCACGGAGCCUGUCUUCAGGAGCAUGGGCCGGGCUGAGGAGUACUUGCCUGUUGUCCUGGGAGGUCUACCUGCUCACUGUGGCAUCACACCCAGUACAGAGAUGGGCCAGACACUAUAUUAUUUAAGGUCCAGAGAUUGGGCCUGGGGUGCCUCUAGGGUCCCAAGUCUGUAUGUCUCCAUGGAAAAAGUGCAAGUGCUCCCUGUGAAUUGUGACCUGCCUUGGAAAAGCCAGGCCUUGGCUAGCAGGUCACACACAGCCUCCGGACUGCUGUCCAAGCAGAGGGCAGCGAUGUAGCUCCCAGCUCCCCCAGUUCUGACAGCAACCCUGCUAAGGGGCACACCCUGCUACCAAGCAAGGGGAGACUUCUUCCUGUGUGAAAAGAAGCCCAGCUGCUUUGGGCCUAGGAGAUCCUAAGACCUCAUCAUUUCCAAAGAGAAAUUAUCAGGUUAGAAUUGUGUGACUGAAGGGACCUGGAGCCCCAGAACUGGCAGGGUGCACAAGGCAUGGCUCUGCCUCCACCCCCUAAGCCCUCUGCAUCUACCUAGGAUCCGUUGCCUGAAGCUCACUGGUCACCUCAAGUUCAAGUCUGCCACCUUCUUUGGCCUGUGCCUUCAGAGAAUAGGUGAGGGUGAGUGACCCCAUCUGUGAGGAAGGUGGACUGAGCUACUCUAUGGGGAGCACUCUCGGUGAAGUUUGGGUGUCCUGACAUGGGGCUUCAUUAACAGAGGGGCUGGGAAGACUUCUUAAUUAUGGGUGAAGCUCAGGUGUCUUCUCUGCAAACAUAGGCCAAGACUUGGGCCACAGCAAGGAGAUGGACUGCUGUCUUUGGGAAGACAUGCAGAAGGGGUGAGAUCCUAUCUGUGGAAGAUAGCCUGCCUUUGUGAGUAAAGGGGGUUCAGGGCAGGUAGACAGGGUAACCACUACCUCGGCUCCAAUUGCAAGAGAGAAACAGUGGAUGUGAUUUGGCGAAAGCAGCAACUGACUGAGUGUAUAAUAGCCCUCAAGGCGGUAUCUUGUUUGCGGUGAGAAAAGGGGAACCUAUGAAAGGGAGAAGAGAGCACACGGGAUGGAGACCUGUACCCCAUUUGCCGCUGGAGAGAGCUGCAGGGCACAGAACAUCAGUCAAGGACUGAAGCCAUUCUCUGGGCUCCUUGGAGAGGAGAGGUGAGCUUGAAGGGUUGAUACCUUUGUGCCCAUGGGG